UACGUAGGGGGCUAGCGUUGCUCGGAAUCACUGGGCGUAAAGCGCACGUAGGCGGAUCUUUAAGUCAGGGGUGAAAUCCUGGAGCUCAACUCCAGAACUGCCUUUGAUACUGGGGAUCUCGAGUCCGGGAGAGGUGAGUGGAACUCCGAGUGUAGAGGUGAAAUUCGUAGAUAUUCGGAAGAACACCAGUGGCGAAGGCGGCUCACUGGUCCGGUACUGACGCUGAGGUGCGAAAGCGUGGGGAGCAAACAGG
rnacentral:rRNA from 1 species